rnacentral:rRNA from 1 species
UACGUAGGUGGCAAGCGUUAUCCGGAUUUAUUGGGUUUAAAGGGUGCGUAGGCGGGCUUUUAAGUCAGCGGUAAAAAUUCGGGGCUCAACCCCGUCCGGCCGUUGAAACUGUGUCCCUUGAGUGCGCGAAGGGUAGGCGGAAUGCGUGGUGUAGCGGUGAAAUGCAUAGAUAUCACGCAGAACUCCGAUCGCGAAGGCAGCCUACCGGCGCGCUACUGACGCUCAUGCACGAAAGCGUGGGUAUCGAACAGG